UAUGGCCAGAUCAUGUUGAAACACUGGUUCCCGUAUGAUCACCAAAGUUAAGCAAUGUCAAGCCUAGUGAGUAAUUAGAUGGGUGACCAUUUGGGAACACCAGGUGCUGUA